rnacentral:lncRNA from 1 species
AUAUCCUAGAAUCAUCUAAACCUAUGCUCUGAUACCAAUUGUCACACCCGACUCUAAUCACCAGAGGAAUUGUCCGCUUUGGAUCAAGCCAAAUCGCCCAUACAAGAUGGCAAGACCCGCACGGUUUUGUCCCGCAGGUGAAAUGGGAAACUUCCUAAGAGGUCACCUAUCCUGAGAUUUCCGUUAAGCGAACACGCUUAACCUUGAAG